rfam:Mycobacterium terrae strain CIP 104321 contig_28, whole genome shotgun sequence.
GGUCAUGAGUGCCAGCGCUAAGCCCCGGCUUGCUGGCCGGCAACCCUCCAACCGCGGUGGGGUGCCCCGGGUGAUUGACCGGGUUGAGUAGCCACCGUCGGCUACGCGGCAAGCGCGGGUC